AUGGGGGAUGUUCGUGUCUCGUCGCAAGGCUCAUUUUUAGUUUUUGGUUUAAGGGCGGAUUUAUCUGAUCAAGGGUCGGGGCACAAGGGUCCUGGUACUAUCCAAGUGCGGAGAACCCCGGAGGUGACUGCAAUGAGCAGAAAUCUAACUAACCGGCCUAAACGACGAGCAAACACUCAAACGGCAACCAAUGUCGAGCAUACGAAGAUGCCUCCCGUUUUCAUUUC